GUCGGGAUAGCUCAGUUGGUAGAGCAGAGGACUG
rnacentral:tRNA from 25 species